rfam:Oryza glaberrima chromosome 11 Oglab11_unplaced142_4, whole genome shotgun sequence.
AAUAAGUGCAGUUUUGCUUCAUGUUAAAUGUUUGACUGUUUGUCUUAUUUGAAUUUAUUUUAUGAUUAAUAUCUUUGUUGUUACAGAUGAUAAAAUAUGAUAAAACAUGAAUAAUAUUUUAUGUGUGACUAAUUUUUUUAACUCUUUCAUAAUUUUUUUCAAUAAGACGGAUGGUCAAACGUUAAACACGAAUUCUAUGGCUGCACUUAUU